rnacentral:rRNA from 2 species
UACGUAGGUGGCAAGCGUUGUUCGGAAUUACUGGGCGUAAAGGGCGCGUAGGCGGCUUGUUAAGUCGGCUGUGAAAGCCCGGGGCUCAACCCCGGAGAGUCGGCCGAUACUGGCGAGCUAGAGUACGGAAGAGGUAGCUAGAAUUCCUGGUGUAGCGGUGAAAUGCGUAGAUAUCAGGAGGAAUACCGGAUGCGAAGGCGGGCUACUGGGCCGAUACUGACGCUGAUGCGCGAAAGCCAGGGGAGCAAACGGG